AGCGAACGCUGGCGGCAGGCCUAACACAUGCAAGUCGAACGAAGCCUUCGGGCUUAGUGGCGGACGGGUGAGUAACACGUGGGAACGUACCUUUUGGUUCGGAACAACUCAGGGAAACUUGAGCUAAUACCGGAUGAGCCCUUAGGGGGAAAGAUUUAUCGCCGAAAGAGCGGCCCGCGUUAGAUUAGCUAGUUGGUGAGGUAAAGGCUCACCAAGGCUACGAUCUAUAGCUGGUCUGAGAGGAUGAUCAGCCACACUGGGACUGAGACACGGCCCAGACUCCUACGGGAGGCAGCAGUGGGGAAUCUUGCGCAAUGGGCGAAAGCCUGACGCAGCCAUGCCGCGUGAAUGAUGAAGGUCUUAGGAUUGUAAAAUUCUUUCACCGGGGACGAUAAUGACGGUACCCGGAGAAGAAGCCCCGGCUAACUUCGUGCCAGCCGCCGCAAUAAGAC
rnacentral:rRNA from 1 species